UACCUCUGAGGGUCACAUCUGGAGAGUUUGCAGUACUCUACCAGUCUCGACUACAGGAGGGAGAGUCAAGCAGAGGCCUAUCCAUUCCAUUCCCAGCAUGGGCAGUGGCUAGCGAGUGGAAGGCCACCUGCUACAGGU
rnacentral:snoRNA from 1 species